UCCAUGUUUUAUUUCCAGAAGCUACAAGCUUUUUAAAAAUCAUAUUCACAGCUGAAAGUGAUAGCAAAACUUUUCCAAAAGGGCCUUUAUUCUGCAAAGCAAAUAUUCUAUGAAUUUAAUUAAAUGAAAAGUUACUCUCAGAGGGCAUGGCAAACUACGUGAUAAAUACACCUCGACAAAAGGCACCGGCAGUAUAAUUGAAUGGAAGAGCCAGCCCUCACUGCAUGAGCACAAAAAAACAAAACACUCAUUGCCACAUGCAGAAUGACGUGUAUCUGUCCAGGUAAUCAUGGGAUGGUAGAAAUUUCAUAUUGCAUCCUUGAACUUUAAGUUUGCUGCCUAAACAAUGUCAAAACUUAGGUACUUUUUUAAUCACUGAUCCGGUUUUAAAAAAUGCCAUCGACAUGAAACGUGGCGUGCUGUGAUGUGUUGUCACCAGGUCGGCUGGCCGUUCAGAUGUCGUGCUCUCCUGAUAAAUAGACCGCUGGUUUUUCACGGCUAGCAAGUCCCAAAUUACUUUUCAACGCACCUCUUGACACCAUCCGCGUCAAAUACAUAUAUAUACCAUUGUUCUCAAAAGGAAGAGUACACGAGAGAUUUCUUUUUGAACUAUACAUCCCCUUCAAGUUACGAUGUCACCGACCAUAAGGGCUUGCGUGCAAGAUUAACAGAGCAAAAACGACGUAUUCUUCAAUGAUUAAAAACAGAAAAGAAAAUUAAUGCCUCCUAGCUGCAUGCAUGCAGGCAUCCACCACUAAAAGCAGCAGGCAAAAAUAAUCAAACUAGGUGUAGAUGGUACGAAUUUUACAUUAUAGAUUGGAAGGAAAAUAAAAUACUACCAGCUCUCUCUAGAUAUACAAAUACUACUACCCCAGUCGCAGUCAUAUCAGCACUCAAUGGGGAAUCAAAUUCCUAGCCUUUUCACAUGGGAGGAAAGAAA